CCUUCGAUAGCUCAGUUGGUAGAGCGGUGGACUGUAGUUGAUUGUUGAAUAUUUGGAGCCAUCCAUAGGUCGCUGGUUCAAAUCCGGCUCGAAGGA
rnacentral:tRNA from 1 species